rnacentral:rRNA from 1 species
UACGUAGGGUCCGAGCGUUGUCCGGAAUUAUUGGGCGUAAAGAGCUCGUAGGCGGUCUGUCACGUCGGCUGUGAAAACACGGGGCUCAACUCCGUGCCUGCAGUCGAUACGGGCAGACUAGAGUUCGGUAGGGGAGACUGGAAUUCCUGGUGUAGCGGUGAAAUGCGCAGAUAUCAGGAGGAACACCGGUGGCGAAGGCGGGUCUCUGGGCCGAAACUGACGCUGAGGAGCGAAAGCGUGGGAAGCAAACAGG